rnacentral:rRNA from 1 species
AUACGGAGGGUGCAAGCGUCAUGCGGAAUCAUUGGGUUUAAAGGGUCCGUAGGCGGACUAUUAAGUCAGAGGUGAAAUCCCACAGCUCAACUGUGGAACUGCCUUUGAUACUGGUAGUCUUGAGUUAUAUGGAAGUAGAUAGAAUGUGUAGUGUAGCGGUGAAAUGCAUAGAUAUUACACAGAAUACCGAUUGCGAAGGCAGUCUACUACGCAUAUACUGACGCUAAGGGACGAAAGCGUGGGGAGCGAACAGGAGUAGAAACCCUAGUAGUCC